CGAGUUUACAUAUUUACAAACAUCGAUUGGUAAUUAUUGUACAAUAGGUCUACGAACAUUCUGUCGGAUUCUGAACGCUCUCGUCCUGGGCCGUUGAGCUACUCCCACGCCCUCGAUCUGUCCGUUUUAGACCGUUCACGUGUCUUAGCGUAUUGGACUUUCGCUCACGUGUGCGCGGAUGGGUCCGGCAUUUGUUGGCAACAUUUUUUAGGGUUAACAGAUUGGUGCCAUCUGUGAAAAAGCAUACUAUAACCACGAACAACUUUGUGGUGGAAGCUUACUGAAGAGGAACAUUUGAGCAUCCCCUUGAAAAAGGAUUUGUUCUUGAAAAAGAACAAGAGGAAGCCUCAUCACUUGGACAAAAUUUGGAGUCGAAACCUAGAGAAAAAUUGAGCACACAAGAAGAUAUAGCCCCUAGGACCAGCAGCUGUCCUAGCUGUGCACCGCAGGUCCCACCACCAUCACAGGAGAGGUGGUACGAGAGUGGCCACCCAGAACUAUGGGAGGCGACUAAAGAAAAGGCCCUUAAUGAGGCCCAUUCUCUCGAGGAAGAGACCAUGCCUAAAUAGGCCUUUAGUAAAGAAAGAGGUUGAUGAAGCGGCCCUUGAUGAGACCCCCUCUUUUACAAAAGUGGUCAUGCCAAAGAAGACCCCCUCAAAGGGGAGAAACUAUUGAAGUGGCCCUUGAUGAGGCUCCCUCUCUCAAGGAAGAGCCCAUAAAUAAAUAGGCCCUCAGUGACGAAAGAGGUUGAUGAAGUGGCCCUUGA
rnacentral:lncRNA from 1 species